rnacentral:lncRNA from 1 species
UGCCUGAUCGUCUUUCAGAGGGCUGCUUAGCAGGACUUAGCCCAAGAACAAGGGGUCAUCUUUAUGUCCCAAAAGCAUUUACUCUGUGUAAAGAAGCGAACAUGAGCAUCAAAAGAACUGACCAAAAAGGAGGUAAAAAAUGACAAAGCUGUUAUAUAACCUAAGCAUGACAUUCUUCGCUUGCAUCUUUUAACACAGGUUUCUUUUUCUGCUGUGGAAAUUCUCCUGUCAUUGGCAAAGCAAAACACAUCUGCUCUCCUGGUUAAAAUUUGCUUAACCGAAGACCAGCAAGGCUACAACCUCUUCAUGUAAAACCAAACUGGUUUGAAUGACUACAAAUAUCAAGAGGUAAACAAGAAAAGUCUUAUUUGUGAUUUUUCUGUACUAGUCCUUUCAUGUAAUCAGAGCUCGGGUUUUCAGGCUCCAGAUGCUUAAUAUUUAUUAUAUUAAUUCAGCUGCUGCCAAAUGAGAAACAAAUCAACGUUAAACGUGUUUAAACAUCCAGCAGAAGGUGCAUGUGAUUGGCUCGGAGAAAUGUGAUUGUCCUGCGUUUUAUUAAGCUGAAUGGGGUGUUGUAUUUGAUGCUGGCUUUUAAUUUCUGUAUCUGUCCCUGCAGUUGGUGUUUUUAUUACUAUUAAUUUAUUACUGGGGUUUGGUCUGCUUGGCCACUUGCAUUUAUAGAGUAAUAAGGGAAUGUAUUUAAUACCGCCUGCUUUCAGUUGCUCUGUGAAUUGUGAGCAUGAAUCAAGGGGGUUGAUUAAACCAUACUGUCCCAGGCUUUUAACUGUGCUUAAUUUCACACCAUCUAUAAAUAAAGCAAUUAUUGUCUUAGGCGCACUGUCAAAGUGGAGGCUUCAUGUGUUUGGCUCAGCUCUGACAAUUGUGUAUGAGGGCUGUUUCAGAGACAUAUUGUGCAUCUCUAGUCUUCUGGUUAAUCCACUUCCAGUGUCGACUAUGGGUGCUUUCAUUAAGAAACGAGUGGCGUUUUUUUUGUUUUUGUUUUUACAAAGCUCAAAUUAGGAGGGAAUUGUAUUUUGAAUGCACUGUUCAAAGUGUUUAAGCCAGGGAGCUCUAAUGCACACUUUUGUUGGGCUUAAUCUACAGAUUGUUGUGUCUGGCCUCAUGGGUAUUAUGCAAUGCAAACUCCUUCAAAAGAGCACAAACAGAGAAAUUCUCAAGACUGAGUGUGUGGGAGGGCUUAUCCGAGCGUCUGCUGCCAGUUUUAACACUCGAGGAUACUUGAUGUUGACUGGAUUUAUGCUUUUAUUUCUAAUCUGGGCUCUCUUUCUCUUGCAGUUUGGCCAAAGCUUGUCUUGAUCCUGACCGAAGCAUCGAGAUAUUAAGUACGUUGCUGUGAUCACAUUAGCCUCAAACAAAAGUAGCUGAGCAGUUGUUCAUAUUCUCAUCAUAUUUCACACUUUCAAACUUUGUCUUAGAAACAAGGUGAUUCACAGUACAACUGUUGGCUUCAUUAUUGCCUCAGAAAUGUUUCCAUUGUGUACACAUUCUGAUGGCACAGUGUAUAAUCAUGCAUGCCCACUGCAGGACCUAAAUGCAUUGUAAUUAGAAAAUAAUGGGCUUGUGUUCAUGGAUGGGGGGUUUCUACUUAACAUUUUCCCUCCAAGCAAAUGGGCUAAAGUCAGAAUCAGCCUGGAUAGAUUCCCGUCAGACCCCAAUAUAAAAGUUGAUCUCUCCUGUUAAAAGAGAGGGACUGUGCACACAGAGGUGUAAUGGCCAGGCUGUCUCUAUUAAGGCUAACAGCUCCCGUCUCUUUCAAGGUGGUCAUUUAGUAGUGCUGCUCAUUCAGCCUAAUCAAUGGUUGGAGCCGCAGCGAACCAUUAAAUAAAAAAAGAGGCUAGAGAUGAGGUGCCUCUGAUUGGGGUUAAUUGGAUGUAAUUGGAAUUUAUACUGUACAGUGGACGACUCAUUAAGAACACAUUUAAAAAUAAUGUCAUUUGAGCUCAGGUCAUUUAACCAUUUUUACAUUGAAAAAGUGUGAGGCAGUAGCUGGUGUAGUUCUCUCUCUGUGUAGCCACAUACAGGCAGAAUGGACAUUGUCACGUAUUGAUUCGUCGAUUGGUGCUCCUUGCUUGAUUCAAUUUAGACUCAAAAACAGAAACAGACUAAUCAGAGGAAAUUCUCCCAUCCAGUUGUCUAAUGUAGUAUUUGUUGAACGCCUGUUAAAGUUUUUAUAAAUGGUAAAAAUAAAAAAUAAAUAAAUAAAAAAAAACAUGUUCUAUUGUAAAUGUAAGUGGGAACAAGUAGUUAUUUAUGCCCUCUGUUAAUAUCUAUUUAAUGUGGCCUAUGAUCAGAGAAGCUUGUGUACAGAAAUGUUAUAAAGAGAGUAGGUAGUGUCCUGCUCACCCUGUCAGAGUUUAUAUCCCUCCUACUCACUAUGAAUUAUCCCACCUGUGAACUCACUACCAAGCAAAGUGGUAAUAUCUCUAAAGUGAAAAUACCUUUUUGUUAAUUUCACACUGAAUUGUGCAUUCAGACAAAAAUUAGAGUCCCUCCUGAUCCACAGUUGUAAUCGCUGCCGUGGAACAACAGUUUAGUUUCAGUCUCCUUGUGGACCGAAUGAACAACAAACUCAAAAUCUUAAUUCACAGUCAAGUUAAUCACUC